UACGUAGGGUGCAAGCGUUGUCCGGAAUUAUUGGGCGUAAAGAGCUCGUAGGCGGUCUGUCGCGUCGGCUGUGAAAUCCCGGAGCUCAACUCCGGGUCUGCAGUCGAUACGGGCAAACUGGAGUACUGCAGGGGAGACUGGAAUUCCUGGUGUAGCGGUGAAAUGCGCAGAUAUCAGGAGGAACACCGGUGGCGAAGGCGGGUCUCUGGGCCGAUACUGACGCUGAGACGCGAAAGCGUGGGGAGCGAACAGG
rnacentral:rRNA from 1 species